AUUUCGUGAUGAUGGCAUCUUUGCAAUAGUUCUUUAAACCUUUUUCGCACCUCAUACAAGGACUCAUCAUCCAUCUGUUGGAAGGUAGUGAUCUCGUUCCUCAACUU
rfam:Gossypium arboreum cultivar AKA8401 contig_18801_9, whole genome shotgun sequence.